rnacentral:rRNA from 1 species
CACGUAGGGGGCAAGCGUUGUCCGGAUUUACUGAGCGUAAAGAGCUCGUAGGCGGUUCGGCAAGUCGGGUGUGACAACUCCAGGCUCAACCUGGAGAGGUCACUCGAUACUGCUGUGACUAGAGUCCGGUAGGGGAGCAUGGAAUUCCCGGUGUAGCGGUGAAAUGCGCAGAUAUCGGGAGGAACACCAGUGGCGAAGGCGGUGCUCUGGGCCGGAACUGACGCUGAGGAGCGAAAGCGUGGGUAGCAAACAGG